CCGCCAUUUUGAAGCACAGCGACGCUGAUACAUGAGAUGGGGAGGCUAAGUGGAGCACAUUAAUUAGCACACUCCAGCAGACUCGAUUAAUCAAGUCUGCUCUGACACACUGUAAUUACAGAGCAGCUUCCCCACACGUGUACAGGCACCCAUAGGGACAAAUUUUAGUUUAGGCCUGCAGCUUAAUCGCAAUCAAUGGAAGUUGAACCUGAUUUGACCAAGGCUGAAUCUAGUCUGUAUAAUAUAAAGGUCUUUUUUUUAGGAUCUCAUUAUUGCUUCAGGACAUCUGACUAGUUAAUUGUGUAAAAAUGAUACUCCUAAUAGUAUUGGCAUAGCUUUAAAUAAAAUUUAUGCACAGUUAUAUGUGGACACAGUCUUCAGAGUAGUAUGCCUAAAGUUAAAGUCAUCAAGGGAGAUUUUCAAAGGCACAAAUGGUAAUUAAAUACUGGGCUCCUACUGACUUUGAUGGAAGUUAGCUGUCUAAUUGCCAUUUGUAACUUUGAAUCCCUCUUCCUCUUGCCUUCCCAAGUCUUCACUAAGAUCCUUAGUAAGUGGCCUGAAUUUGAAAAGUAGUAAGCUACCAAUCGCUUCCAAUGACCUUAAUUGGGAGCUGCAGUGAUUAGUACUAAUGUCUUGCAUUCAAAACUUAUCUAACUAUCCCAACUAUGCAGCUGGUCCAAUAAAAGAUAUCACCUUAAGAAAUCCUUGCCUCUCAAUGAAGAUCAUGUCACUUAUUUAGAUACCAAGAUAAGGUGGUAGGAGUCUAAAUUCAGGCACAUCUCUUUGCAAACCUAGGCUUGUACGUAUAAUGUACUCACCCCAAACAAUCUAGCUUCUGAAGAUAUAUUCCGUAGUCUCACAGGUUACUUUUAUAGAAAAAUCUUGGUUUUUUGGAGACACGUGGCUUAUAUUGAAAACACUUUAGCUCUUUUACCUAACUGUACUUCACUAACAGCAACAAUAGUUUAUCAUACUAACUAUUUUGAUGGCAACAAGAUAACUAGCAAAUAAAUGACUGCUCUGUUUCGUAAAGAAGGAAAAAAACACUGAAGAGCUCUAUGAUCCAGCUGAAAUAUAUUUAGAUGGGAAAUUUCACAAAACAAAAAUCACUUGCAGGUGGAUCUGAGGGUAGUUGUUAGUCUUUCUAGUCCAAAUUAUGUAAGUGAGGUCAUCUUUCUGGUGCUACCUUAGAAACUGGCCUUAUUCUAUAAAGGACAUUGAAUGAUAACACUGCGAGUCAGCUGACUGCUGUGUCACAGAGCUGCUGCUUUCUACAUUAUCGCAACUGCCAGAGCUCUUAGUGCUGCAGUUUUCUAGUCGCAGUGCGGCAAAGCAGAUGCAUAGAACCAGGCACAAAGCAACAUAGAUUUUUUUUUUUUGGUUUUGCUCUUCUGGCUUUUUAUAUGAGGACAGUGUACCUGUGUUAGCAUAGGAGCAGACAUACAGCCUGGACGUGCAUGAUGGCUUCUAACUUUGCAGCGUUUUCCAGCUGAGCAGUAAUUGCUUGGAGUCUUGUACCCAAAUUGCCUCUGAUGAAGAACGGCUGGGUUCCCACUUUGUAUACUUAUAGUUUUGUAUGCCACGAUGAUAUAGCUGCAAGAAUAAGACAAAGGAGAUGGUACUUGUCACUGUCUGUCUGAUUGGGGCCUUUGCAGCCACUCCACUGCUGAAGCUGUUUAAAUAUCCCAGGCUCACAUAUAAUAUUGGUAAUAUAGAUUGCCGCAGUUUCUUACAUCAGUUAGAGCAAAGCUCAAACAAGAAACCAGACUCGCUGACCUAAAUCAAUCCCAAUCUUUCUGGAUACGGGGCAGCAGUCGGCUAGCAAUGACACAACCAGCCAUCAAGUGGAGAGUCUCUGGGAUUGCAAUCUUUAUCAGUUGGAGCCUGUGAGAAUGAAACACUCCACUUUUGGUUAUCCAAUUGCUUCUUCUUUUCUUUUUUUUUCGUUCCCGUAAGCAGCUACUAAUUGUGCUUGGUCUCUAAGUGUAUAUUUGUGUGGAUUAGUUUGUCUCUAAUGCAGUCCUUAUCUGCUUUUGCUGGAAAUCAGGGCACCAAGUCAGCUUGCUUUAACAGUUGUUUCUUUCUGCGUGAUGCUAUGCAACUACACUGACAACAAAGGAGCAAGCACAAACCAUCACUAUUUUCUGGGCUGUUACAGGAACAUAAUUCUUGUUUGAUAUGAUGCCCUCCUUUUUUCUUUUCUGCCUUUUUUUAAUUCAUCUAAUUGAAGAACCUAACAGACAUCAUCGUGGAUGUGGUUUUUAAUGAUUUGGAAAAGACAGCCUGUGGAGACUGCGAUUUGAGACAGCAACACAUUUAGGUUAUUGCCAAUUUGAAAUACUUGGUUUGUGAAGCACAGCCCUAAGGGACAAGCUCAGUAUCUGAGUGAGAUUGUAGAUAAAGAAAUAAAAAUGACAAGCGUAAUGGAGGUUCUGCAAAAGAGACUGUCAGAGAAUCAGUUCAUGGAUGGCAAUUUCACCAGUCUGAAACUGAAUAAUUCAUAGAAUGAAAUUACCCUGCUUUCACCUUUCCAUUUAAACCGGCAUGAUCUGAAUCUCUAAUAAAUUUUCAAGAUAAAAGUAAAAUGCCAAUUUGAAUCUGAAGAGCUUUUAAAACCAGAUGCUACAUCCUGAAUCUUUCGAUACCUUUCACAAUUAUCCUGUGAGAACCGCACUUCAUCACGAAGCACCAUUACCAGUGAAAAUUACUGUGAUUACAAUAGCAACAAUAGAAUACCAUCAAAUGAUCUCUAAUUUACCUAAUUUACCAAGGCUGACUGUGUGCCCAUCGUGUGUCAGCAUGUCUGGCAUCGGAUCAAUAUCACACUGGAGCAAAAAUGUCUCAGUAUAUGGCUCAUCUUUGUUAUCUUUAACUUUGGAAGCCCAGAAAAAAUGUACCUUCUCUGUUAAGCAUUUUUACAAUUGUAUGUGUUAUAUGUUUGUUUUAAGGAUGUCAUUACUAAUCCAUGUUUUUGUUUAGCUCCCAGUUAUUGGAGGGUACUAGUUGUAUAUAUACAAUUCGUUUAUAUUGUUUAUAUUGUUUAUGCACAAAGACUACAGCAAAUAAGUAUUAGGACAGAGAAUCCACAGUACUAAAACAAUAGUGAUACAUCUGUAGAUUAAUUCAAUAUGGGUUUUGUGCCUUACUUGAAUACUUACCUGUUUUUAAGAUAGAAAUCUUACCUGGCAUCGCUGGUCCUGGUUGUAUUAUGUAACAAGUAUUCCAUUUUAAAAUGUACUCAAUAGCCAUAGUCAGAAAACAACUGUGUUUAGCACUAACAGGAUUCCCUCCCCCCUGACCCCACACACACCAUUCAGUAAAUAAACUGUUAUUAUAUAUAUACAUGCUCUGUCAACAUGUGCUGAUCAUUGGAAAUCUCUGGCCGAAAGUAACAACUUCUUUUCUAACAAGCUGGGAAACAUGAUGCUUCGUCAGAAUCUGCUCUCAUUAUGCCAAUUUUGAGAAGCUGUUCUGGUAACAAAUCUUCACUUGGGAAAUGCCCAGUGUAGUUGUUUUAUAGCAGGACACAGGACUUCUGAAACAGUAAGUAGCAUUUAUACAGUAAGCUGGUUCCUACAGCUAAGAUACAGGAAAAUAUUCUAAAGUGAAUUUUCAGAUUGAGUUCUUUCAGUAGAAUAACUACAUGGAAGAGUAGGAGAGAGGAACAGAAGGCUAGAAAAAAAUCAUUCCUUAUGGAGACGUUUGUGUCUGGUAUUAGUACGUGUUUAAGUUAUAUGCCUCAAUUUUGUUUUUUAUUCCAUAAGCAGGUCUACUUUGUCUUCAAAGGAUAUUUUUUUCAAAGAAAAUAAGGGACAGCCUUGUGUAUUUCACCUUACCCUAAAUUCUCCAGGAAACUGUAGCCUGAAACCACACUUCAACUCACCAAAGAUAAAUCAAGACCUAUUCAUUUCCAAGUGAAAUUAAAACUUUAGAAGCUGCAUUUGUCCACUAAGUGCUACUGAGAUGAACAGAAUAAACUUCAGGGGAAUUAUUUCAAAAGGACAAACUUUGUGAUUAAUUAAGAGAACAAGCUAGGGAAGUCAACUGGACUGAAGAUCUCAAGGUCUCAAAGUGGAGGAGGAUGCAAAAUAUAAUUAAGAGGAGUGCAUUGACACGAGGAACUUUAAAUCAACUGUGCAGAUUUCAACAGUGCUACUGCAUGCUCCUGAUCUGCUCCCCUUCUGAAGAAGCUUACUUUUGAAAAAGCUCCAAAUGUGACCUGAAGCCUAACUGGUGACUACAAGGAACAGUGAAUUCUUCAGCUGAUCAGAAGAUAUUUUAUUCAGGCCAGAAUGUGUAGUCUUUCCAGGUGAGCUCAGUACCAAAGGCUUAAGGAAAAAAAAUCUUGAAUGUGUAGGGUUUAUUUUCAAAUCUCUUGCAGCUUUUAAGAAUUGCCUCCUUCUUGAGGUAGGAAGGUAAAUUUGAUCAGAAUAAGAUUAGGUUUCAAGACUGCUUCCCUUUUAGUGCUUCAUGACCUCUUUUACCAAGAAGAGCACUGAGUAUGAGGGAAUUCUUUCUUUUUGAGAAAUCUUGAAUUGACUUUGCAUUAUCUUGACGCAAACCCUAAAAUGUUCUCAAGAACCCACUCAGGUUUGAGUGUUGGUGACUCCCAUGCACUUUUCAGGACAGGAGUCCCAAACAGCUGAUGCCUUACCACCCAUAUAAUUUAGGAUGCAUUGGCAACCAGCCAUAAAGCUCUUACACAUAUUUUAUGUAAUAACUUUGUAGCUUAUUCCCUGUUUUAUUGCACCAUUAAUUGCAUGACCACGUGGCUGGGUUACUACUUAAGAUGCGAUUAACUGGUCAAUCACAUCUUAAGUGUACAGUCUGCUAGAGGCCUAAUUUCCAUUUACCAAGAUGCAUCUUUUCAAUUAUAGCAUUUUGCAGAAAGAACAAGGGCAGGAGUUUCUGCCACUUCCCUUUGUUGAUUCUGUUAACUAUUUUGUUUGUAGUUCAUGAGCCAGGAAAAAAUCCAGUGCACUGUUCCAGAGUUGUUGCUUCCUUAAGCCUUUAAUUUACCUGUGCUGGGUAAUGGAGAAGUAGUAAGUUCUUUUUACAGAAGAACUGAAGUAGGUGGCCUGGGAGGGUAGUUUGCUCAGUACCUGCUGAAUUAUAUGUUGGGUCCAUUUGUCAAGAAUGGACUGACAAAGAGUGCACUGACAUCAGUCAAUGCAUCUGCAUCCCAACAAUGGAUCUGUUGGGUCCAUUUGGCAAGAAUCUCGUUAACCAAAUGCUGCCAGGUUUAUUCACAUUUAAACACAGGUUUAUCCAAAACUGCCUCAUAAUUUCCAUAAAAUUGUGUCAGCCUGAACAAAUAUCACUACUGGGCUGAUAGCCUAUCUGGCACAUUAUUUCAGGCUAGACCCACCUAUGCUUUUCUCUCCAGUGAGAUCUCUGGAACUGACACACAUUCUUUGUAAGCUUCCAUUCACUCUUAUUCCUAUGACCAUAACUCUCAGUCCUUUCGGAAAUGGAAAUUGUUCAUUAUAAUAUUUAUAAAUAACUAUAACUGAUCAUUUCCAAAUACAAGUGCAGUAUUUUUAAAGUGUUUCUGUACAAACCAGAACUUCAGCAAAUAUUGUCAUUACAAAAAAAACAACUUGAGCAUAUUUUCAUUUCAGUUCCUGGGGAACUGCAUCCUGAUCCUGUAAAUAAUGUCUAUCAUGAACAUGCCACCCUGAACUCAGGCCUGAGGAGACAGGGAUGGGAGAAAACCUUCAUUCACUCUACUGUCCUAAGCAGAGGCCUGAAAGGUUUAGACGCAGUAGCAUAACUAGCAGUGGGGGCACAGCCCCCAGGCACCAAGUUAAAGAGGGCACCAGCAAUGGAAUAGAGGCAGCACUUGGAGUCAGCUGCAGGGAGACGUGAUGCCAAAUUCAGUGUUGCAAUGCCUCAGUGGCAACUGGAUUCAGUGGUGGCUGUGUGGAGGCUCUGAGAGGGCUCCUCUAUUAACCCCCUGACUGCUGGUCAUGCCACCACACCAGCAGUAUUUCCAAGGAGGGUGGGAGAGUGGGUGCAGCACUUGAGGUUAACGAGGAGACAGAGCUACUGGAGUUUGUGCCAAGUCUGCUUAGAUGCCUUUGUCAAGUUUAUGAAUAUUUAAAUUUGCCUUAUGACCCAAGUUCUAGGAACUUUUGAAAACGUCUGUUAUUUACAAUAUAUCUUGAUAAAUUGUAACUUCUAGCAAAACAAGAAAGUAGCUUUUCUCCACUCACUUAUAUUAAAUAAAGCUUUCAGAUAAAAUUGGAAAACUUUAUAUUACUAGGAUGCUAGUUUCCUGCUGUGCACAAUUCGUUCAUCUUGCUAGAACAGGUGGGUUGAAGACAAUUUUACUUUCCUAAAUUGGGAUAAGAAGUAAAAAGCUUGGAAGUUUAUGUGGGCCAAAAUUUUUUAGAAGAUUGGAUCAAUAAAAAAUUUAAUUUAGAUAAUUUUUAGUGCUUUGUUUUGGAUGAUUCAUUUUUAAAAUCACACUAGAACCAGAUUUAAUUUCAAUACAGAUUUAAUUAUGAUAUAAAAUUAACCAAUAUUUUUCUUUUAGAAAAUGUCAAAAAAUCUCAAUAGCAUUUCUUCUACAUUUUGAGUUGAAAAGUGCAGCAAAACCAACUGUUUCCCACAAACAGGCAUUCCACAAUGAAAAACCUUCUGUUAAAAAAUCUUUACCAGCUUUCCUGGCCACUGAAGACUAAAACACAAAUUUUAGACUCAUGGGAAAUGCAUAAUCUGAACAAGUAUUAUCAAAUGGUAAAGUUAGCUGGAACUUGAACAGCAUGUAGAUAAAUGCUGUAUUUUCUCACAUACAACACACCUCCAAAUAAAACAUGGAUCUUGUUUUUGGAAGCAGAAUGUAGAAAAAAAGAUUUGUUAAGAGUCCUGGCAAACUGUGGACAAAGUAAAUCCUCCUGGAAACAUAUAUUGUCCAGGACACGUGUUAUCAAGAACUUCCCGGGGUGAUAAACUGUCUGCUGCGAUGCCACACUUCCUGGACAUAUUAUGUUCAGGAGGGCUUACAGUAUAUCACACAGGGUUAGGCACCAGACCCUUGCAAAGAACAGUCACAAGACUAUUACUUCUUUGCUCUAAGUAGUUCUUUAUAUAAGUUCCUGUAAAUAAAGUGCUGUUUCCAAAUCACAUAUCUCAUCAAGAUACUACCAACAGCUCACUUGCUGCUUUGUGCACAACCUACAGUGCUCAGCAAAUAGCUACAGCACUGUGAGGGUUAAAGUGAGGGCUAACACAGGACUCUGCCACUUCAAUUUUCUAAGCAUACAAGCCGCAGCUGUCUUGGCAGCUGCACAAUGUGCACAGUGUCUCCAGGAGUACUUCUUUUCCAGUGAAGAAAACAGUUUCCCUGGUUCAAACAUGCAUCCCUAAUUAGGGGAAGGGUCAGUUUGGGGAGAAAGGUGUGCGUUUUAUGUGAGAAAACAGGGUAUCUAACCAGUCUCUAGAUGACUUGGAAACCUUUCUGUGUAUUGUUGUCCAAGGUGGAAGAGAGAUAAAAAAAUAUAUACAAACAAACAAAAGGAAAAGAGCAGACUUUUUUUUGUUUUAUCAUGAUCACACUUAUGUUUGGUCAUAGUACGUGGCUAGUCAAACCACUUCCCUUCACCUAAUCCACAAAUUACUUCUAACACAGUGGGUUUGUCUAAGCAACUUUUGUUCACGUGCAGGACUGCUAUAAGACUUUGCUGUGUGUUAAAAAGGAAACAAGCAAGCAUGCUUACCUAGAAUUUGGUUUUCUGCAUUCUAGCUCCUCAGUUGGGUUCCACAAAAUCAGUUCCAAAUUAGUUGAUUUGGAGGCAAAUGAAACCAUCAUGGACACAUCACAAAGGGCUUUUCUGCAUUAGAAAAUUAGCACACAAGUAAAGGAGGGUUUAAUUUACAGCACACUACCUACCCUACACCAACUCUGUCUGUGGAGACUCUUAGUGUAUGUGCUAAGUGCAAAAUAGCUUACUCCAUCAGACAGUCCUUAAAAAUUAUAUCCUAUCUAUCAGUAGUGUUAGAGUAACGUUGUAGUUGUGAUGGUCUAGGAAAUACAUAAGAAACUGGGAUUUUUGUGGGUUAUAUCUUUUAUUGGACCAACUUCAUGGUUGGGAUAGACUUAGACUAGCUUUCCAAUGCAAUACACUUUUCUUCACCAUGCAGUUGGUCCAGUAAAAGAUAUCACCCACAAAAAUCCUUGCCUAUCCUAUCCAUCAAUUUUGUAGGAUGAAAAAGUAGCCUAAGAGUGUUUUUUUUAGGUUUUUCACUUAGUAAAGAGAGACAUGAGUCAUGACUCUCAUCUCUAAAUGAUUUGUUCUGUUAACCACUGGAGCUCCGCUGAGUAUAAUUUAAAAGCUGCUUGACCACAUAGUCUAAAUAGACCUUUUCUGUAGAAUUCAGAAGAAUAGAAUUGUUCUGAUUCUAUUCAACUUCAGUUCAUAAUUCUUACAAAGUUUAAGAGUACCAGCCAGAUCAGUGAAGACUUUUGCUUGUAGCACUAGAUAAUCUCAACAAAUGAUGUUGUUUUUAAACAUGAUUGUUAAUGACACCAGUAGAGAAGGCAUAUAUGUCAUUAAGGGCCUUGUUACAUAUUGGACUGUGAGCUGCUCAAAUGGUGAUGGUGUUAGUGCUAGCUCAAGUUUGGAGCAGCCCAUGUUCAAGCCAGCAAGGGCCUGGAGGACUGAAAGAUAAGAAAUCCCUCCCCGCUUCCCAUUCCAGACUGCUCGCUGCCUCGCCUACCCCACCCCCAGGCUUCCCCAGUUAUCCCUCCCUUUCCCCCCUGCUUACCUGUGGCUGCCCAUGCUGUCUUUUCAGGGGGAGCAAGCAGAAAGGGUUAACCUGCCUGGCUGGCCUCCACCACUCCUGGGAUGAUCCCCCUUCUCAAGGGAUGACAGUAGUGCAGAAAUGAGCAACUGCUUCCACUAGCUGGGAGAAGGUGAAAAGGACUGAAGAAAUUAGGGGAAUUUACUCUUAAGCUUGCAUUUCCUGAUAUGUAAGGCUGGCACUAGUGACCACAAAACAAGACCAGCAUGGUCAGAGACAGUUUCAACACCCUGAUAAUGCUCCUAUCUCGUUAUGUAGGAGACCUGUUUUGCUGGUCCAACUGGAGGUCUGUGGGCCACAUACAGCCUGCAAGGAGCCAUUUCUUGCUAUUAUCUCUGCUCAGGAGAACUGAUACAGCUAUUUCUUGCUAUUAUUUCUGAUCAGGAUAAGUGCUCCUACUGUUGGAAUUCUCUGGCCCCCUUGGGGCUAAGUGGAUUGUCUCAGUUGAGUCAGUCACUACGUAGCAGUGACCACAGAAUGACAUUAUUUUAAGAGGAGGCAAGGAGAAGAAAGAGGCCUUGGUAUUACUGUUUUGAGGAUCUGAGAGGCCACAAAUGCCAGGCAUUGUGAGCAUUAUACAGAAUGUUAUAAUUUAUUGGGGUUUAGAACCAAAUACAGAAUCUCCUGUUGAAGGUGAGGUGUAUCAAACACCCCAAAAAAGUCGGUGAGAAACUGGAAGCCAAAACCAUCUAAAAGUUAAAUAAAUCAGGGAUGCCUGGCAGCUUGCUAAGAUUUCUGUGCAUUUUCAUCUGUUACUUAUUAUGUUCUGGUUUUCAUUAACUUCAUUUUUUUCCCUGCACAAUAUUACUGUGUCCAAAUUAUUAGAGUUGCAUUACUCAUUUUAAAAAUAGUUAAUGAAAUGACUAAAAGAGACCAUUACCAUAUUAUUCUGGAAAAUCGCAUAGCCCUUUACAUAAGAAAGGGGAAUAAAAUCCAUUUUCAUUCACCUUUUUUUAUAUGAUGACAACCACAGUUAUGCAUUAUAAUUAGAGAAUUACAAUUUUGCUAGUGAUGUUUAAGAUUGAGAGUAGGUUUUAAAAUUCACCAUGGAUGAUCAUUUCAUUAACAAAGCUGAGUGUAAGUUAUUUUUCUUCUAAACUUUGUCCUAGCAUGUUGUAUUCUCAGACUUGGCUGUUUGAUAAAGAUGAGAAGAUAAGAAUUUUACAGGCAGGUAUAUCACAGCAGGCUAACUGAUUCAACAUCAAAUUGCUUUAUACUGAUUAAAAAAAAAUAACAACUAAUUUUGAAACAGUUCUGGAGGCUGACUAUAACGAUUAUUAAGCACAAGUUUUAUAUAUGCAGAAAAAAUUGCUUUUGCAUGAAUUCACUCUUAAAAUGUUAAUAUAUGCAUAAGAAAAUUGUGUUCCUUAAUCUCUGAAGAAACACUUAUCACUAAGAACCUCUUAAUUCUUUUCCUGUGCUUGAUUUAUUAGCUUAUGAAAUUAUGUUAAUAGUUUGCAUGUUAAUGGUUUUUGGGCUCAAAUGACCUGAUUUUAAUAAUGAAGUAAUUUAUGCAAUAAAUGUAAUCAGCAUC